GACGGGUUCGGGAUGAAGUGGUUGACCACGCCCCCGAACACCGCGUAGAUCCGUUUACCGUCGUUGAGCAUCUGCACGCCGCGGCUGCGGAACUCCUU
rnacentral:sRNA from 1 species